AUUGAACGCUGGCGGCAGGCCUAACACAUGCAAGUCGAACGAGUGGCGGACGGGUGAGAAAUAUCUGGGAAACUGCCUGAUGGAGGGGGAUAACUACUGGAAACGGUAGCUAAUACCGCAUAACAUCAGCUGUGCCCAGAUGGGAUUAGAUUGUUGGUGGGGUAACGGCGCACACAGUCGACGAUCCCUAGCUGGUCUGAGAGUAUGACCGUCCAGACUGGAAUGGAGACACGGUCCAGACUCCUACGUGAGUCAUCAGUGGGGAAUAGUGCACAAUGGGAGCAAGCCUGAUGCAGCCAUGCCGCGUGUAUGAAGAAGGCCUUCGGGUUGUAAAGUACUUUCAGCGAGGAGGCGUUACCCGCAGAAGAAGCACCGGCUAACUCCGUGCCAGCAGCCGCGGUAAUUC
rnacentral:rRNA from 1 species